AGUCGUUCGUUAGCGAGACGUUCAUUGUGUCUCAGGACUGCUUUUUUAAUCGCAAAGAUGGAAAAAACUUUGGUUCAUCGCGUGGCUUAAGUGGUUUGGUGCGACUGUCUGAAUGCAAUGAUGAAGUAACACAUCAUUUGAUAAGCUACCACCUGUCUAAAGAGGUCUUAAGUGAAAAUGUAUGUAAGAAUGAUCUACCUGCUUGAUUUAUAUUUGCUACGCUUCAUGUUGACGAGUCCCUCAAAAUGGCGGCCAAACUUGGAGAUUGCCGAAAAUUAGCUAAAUCCAUUUGGAUCUGGAGUUCCAAAUACUGACAGCCGACGCCUGUAUUGAGAGCACUUGCCACAAAAUACUUCCCCACACCUUAAAAUAAAAAGUAUGGUAAACAAAACAGCUUCAUUUUGAUUUUUAAAAGACACUUUAAGGACAGAGUAAAUAGUUUGAACCCAGGAUUCAUGGCUGACAAUGUGGUCUGACUAAUGAAAAGACUUCGAUAAAAGGCUACUCCCCUCCAGAUGACCAGACCACAAGAUUGAUAAGCUCUUAGAAUAGCUGCAGAGUGAUUAGCAAAGCUGAUGCAGUUAUAGACAAAAUUAGUUGAAUUGAGCACUUUAUCCCCUAGCCUAAGAAUAUCUCAUCUUGAACUUUAUGAACAGUUUUAAAGGCUACAAUCUAGAAAUUAUCCUAAAAAUAAUUCUAUAAAAAUUGUCGAAAUCAUAAUCAUCUGAGAUCAUGAUGACUGUUUAUUGAGCUAAUAUCAGUAGGCAUAUUCCCCAUACUGUUUUCUACACAUUUCCUAUGGUACUGACAAGGAGAAUUUGUCUAACAAUCAAGAGCUUCUUUAGUUGGUGAUCAUUUGUUCUAUUCCUGUGGCCUUAAUGAGUGAUGCAGGGGUGAUAUUAUAAUGAGAAAUUAGAUGCUAGUCAUUCUUUGGGCUUUAAUG